AACGAACGCUGGCGGCAUGCCUAGCACAUGCAAGUCGAACGAGACCUUCGGGUCUAGUGGCGCACGGGUGCGUAACGCGUGGGAACCUGCCCUUAGGUUCGGAAUAACUCCCCGAAAGGGGUGCUAAUACCGGAUAAUGUCUUCGGACCAAAGAUUUAUCGCCUUUGGAUGGGCCCGCGUCGGAUUAGCUAGUUGGUAGGGUAAAAGCCUACCAAGGCGACGAUCCAUAGCUGGUCUGAGAGGAUGAUCAGCCACACUGGGACUGAGACACGGCCCAGACUCCUACGGGAGGCAGCAGUGGGGAAUAUUGGACAAUGGGCGAAAGCCUGAUCCAGCAAUGCCGCGUGAGUGAUGAAGGCCUUAGGGUUGUAAAGCUCUUUUACCCGGGAUGAUAAUGACAGUACCGGGAGAAUAAGCUCCGGCUAACUCCGUG
rnacentral:rRNA from 1 species